rnacentral:rRNA from 1 species
GAUGAACGCUAGCUACAGGCUUAACACAUGCAAGUCGAGGGGAAACGACAUCGAAAGCUUGCUUUUGAUGGGCGUCGACCGGCGCACGGGUGAGUAACGCGUAUCCAACCUGCCCACCACUUGGGGAUAACCUUGCGAAAGUAAGACUAAUACCCAAUGAUAUCUCUACAAGACAUCAGAAGGAGAUUAAAGAUUUAUCGGAGAUGGAUGGGGAUGCGUCUGAUUAGCUUGUUGGCGGGGUAACGGCCCACCACGGCUACGAUCACUAGGGGUUCUGAGAGGAAGGUCCCCCACAUUGGAACUGAAACACAGUCCAAACUCCUACGGGAGGCAGCAGUGAGGAAUAUUGGUCAAUGGACGAGAGUCUGAACCAGCCAAGUAGCGUGCAGGAUGACGGCCCUAUGGCUUGUAAACUGCUUUCAUAAGGGAAUAAAGUGAGUCUCGAGAGACUUUUUGCAUGUACCUUAUGACUAAGGACCGGCUAAUUCCGUGCCAGCAGCCGCGGUAAUACGGAAGGUCCGGGCGUUAUCCGGAUUUAUUGGGUUUAAAGGGAGCGUAGGCCGGAGAUUAAGCGUGUUGUGAAAUGUAGACGCUCAACGUCU